rnacentral:lncRNA from 1 species
AUGGUUCCCAAGGGCAACGCUGUUUACAUGAGUCUCUUCAUCCUAUUGCUGUUGUUCUCAUCCAAAGUCGUGUUUGCCAGAGUUUCCCAAUUUUCAGAAACCAGUUAGUCUCUUUCCCAAAUAGUUAUAUAGAGACUAAAAAUAGUUUAGAUUAUUCAAGGCGUCACAAGGGAUUCCCAUUUUCUGAAAACAAAAGAAACCUCUCUUUAGGAGCGCCGUGUAUAUGUAUGUGUACAUCGAUCAAUUGUUUUGCAUGAUUAGUUAUUAAUGAAGUUUUGUAUUCUCAUCGCAGAAGAGAAGAUCAAUACGGAGUUUUCGAAGAUGAAGAUUAUUGACCGUAGACUAGUCGAAUCUAUAAAGCCGCCAGGCGCUCCAGGUUG